GACGUAGGGCGCGAGCGUUGUCCGGAUUUAUUGGGCGUAAAGAGCUCGUAGGCGGCUUGUCGCGUCGAAUGUGAAAACUCGGGGCUCAACCCCGCGCUUGCAUUCGAUACGGGCAGGCUCGAGUUCGGUAGGGGAGACUGGAAUUCCUGGUGUAGCGGUGAAAUGCGCAGAUAUCAGGAGGAACACCGGUGGCGAAGGCGGGUCUCUGGGCCGAUACUGACGCUGAGGAGCGAAAGCGUGGGGAGCAAACAGG
rnacentral:rRNA from 1 species